AAUCCAUAGGUUAAUGAGGCGAACCGGGGGAACUGAAACAUCUAAGUACCCCGAGGAAAAGAAAUCAACCGAGAUUCCCCCAGUAGCGGCGAGCGAACGGGGAGGAGCCCAGAGCCUGAAUCAGCAUGUGUGUUAGUGGAAGCGUCUGGAAAGGCGCGCGAUACAGGGUGACAGCCCCGUACACAAAAGCGCAUGUGCUGUGAGCUCGAUGAGUAGGGCGGGACACGUGGUAUCCUGUCUGAAUAUGGGGGGACCAUCCUCCAAGGCUAAAUACUCCUGACUGACCGAUAGUGAACCAGUACCGUGAGGGAAAGGCGAAAAGAACCCCGGCGAGGGGAGUGAAAAAGAACCUGAAACCGUGUACGUACAAGCAGUGGGAGCACAGGUUUACCUGUGUGACUGCGUACCUUUUGUAUAAUGGGUCAGCGACUUAUAUUCUGUAGCAAGGUUAACCGCAUAGGGGAGCCGCAGGGAAACCGAGUCUUAAC
rnacentral:rRNA from 2 species